rnacentral:lncRNA from 1 species
UUGAGCAAUUUUAUAGCAAAUUCCCAAAAGCCAAAUAUCACUGUUGGACAAGGAACCCGUGGAUUUAUUGAACCCCAAUAUUCUCCUCAUUGAUCCACCAUUCAUCAUCACUCUCCUCACAGCUGCUCUCCAAUCCUCAUAAUAGUUUCUUCCACUCAAAGACUUUUUCCUGGUACUGGUGUUGCAGCUACUUUUCUGCUCACUAUUGUUAUUACUAUUAGAAGUCCCAAAAAUUGACAAAGCCGGUAGCCAGAUUCCUGACCAAAUGGCUACAGAUUUUUUAUCCUUGCUAAUGCAGGCACUUGGUCCUGCCUCGGAUGAGACAGAACCCUGAAUUCCGUUCAAAGAAUAAUUACAGUUUUUUUUAACAGAAUUACGAAUUGGAUCGCUGUUUUUCCCUUGAAAACCCUUCAUGAACUAAAUAAUUGAAUAAUCGGUGCCGCAUAUGAACAGAAUCCCUUAAUAAUUCAAUAUCUAAGAAAGCAAAAAAUCAAAACCAAUACUAUUAAAAAUCAAGAUGCCUAUAUUUGUAAAUUAAAAGCAUGAAUCAUAUUCCUUGGUUUGUAUUUUGUUUCGAUAAAUACAUGAAUUAUAAGCAAAUUCAAGAUAUUUGGAACAAAGAGAGACGGAUUUCGAUACAACCCACCCUCCGGAAGAUGCUAAUCUUGUUAAAAAUGAAAUUCGUGGGGAUCUCAAGUUUCUGUACUUUGGUACAAUGAGGUUGUUUUAUUGCCGGAAUCGGAGAGUCGUGUGUAAGUGUAUAAAUUGCGCAGUGCCUACAAUUUGUACAGUUGUUCUGUUUUGCUUAAAAACGAUAAAAACAAACCCAUAAAUACUUAUUUUUCGUAAAUAAAAG